rnacentral:rRNA from 1 species
UGCAACUCGCCUGCAUGAAGUCGGAAUUGCUAGUAAUCGCAGAUCAGCAUGCUGCGGUGAAUACGUUCCCGGGCCUUGUACACACCGCCCGUCACACCAUGGGAGUCGGUAACACCCGAAGUCGGUAGCCUAACCGUAAGGAGGGCGCCGCCGAAGGUGGGAUUGAUGACUGGGGCGAAGUCGUAACAAGGUAAC